ACCGUGCAAAGGUAGCAUAAUCACUUGCCUAUUAAUUGUAGGCUAGAAUGAAGGGACAAACGAGAAUACACCUGUCUCCUUUAAGCCCUUAAAAAUUUAUCUUUAAGUGAAGAAGCUUAAAUUCAUAUGCAGGACAAGAAGACCCUAUAGAGCUUUACCUAAAAUCUACAUAAAUAGUAGCUAGCGGUUCGGUUGGGGCGACCGGGGGACAUUCAUCACCCCCAAACUAAAAGAUAUACCUAUCCCACCAAAGAUCCUUACUCAAGAUCAAAGAAUCAAGCUACCUUAGGGAUAACAGGCUAAUCCUCUUAGAGAGCCCUUAUCGACAAGAGGGG
rnacentral:rRNA from 1 species